rnacentral:rRNA from 1 species
UACGGGGGGAGCAAGCGUUGUUCGGAUUUACUGGGCGUAAAGGGCGCGUAGGCGGUCGUGACAAGUCACUUGUGAAAUCUCCGGGCUUAACUCGGAACGGUCAAGUGAUACUGUCGGACUAGAAUACAGAAGGGGCAACUGGAAUUCUCGGUGUAGCGGUGAAAUGCGUAGAUAUCGAGAGGAACACCUGCGGCGAAGGCGGGUUGCUGGGCUGAUACUGACGCUGAGGCGCGAAAGCCAGGGGAGCGAACGGG